GCCGAUCACUAAGUCACCUGGAAUGCACCUGAUUUCAUCAGAUCUCUGAAACGAAGCAAAGUUGAGCCUGGAUAGUGCUUGAAUGGGUGAUCAGCAUGCAAAAACCGGUUUUACAGGCU
rnacentral:rRNA from 1 species